GCUGUCCACUAAUUGCAUAUCCCUGCCAUAGAGGCUUUUAUUAUGGGUUUCUCCUGGAAGUUUCAGUUACUUGGCUGUCAUACCUAUACUCUUAACCAGGACAAGUAUGCAGAAAGACUUCUAGACUUUUUUGAUCUGGAACACUUGAAGUCAGGUGUUGAGCAUAACAGCAGGUCAAUCAUUUUGGGUCGGCAGUAAAUAUUUUUCAUGAUAUGUUUAAACUUUGCAUUUUUAACCUCCACCUCAAAUUUUAUCUCUUGUAGACAAGUUGCAAUUGAAAAUGUUAUCUUUUCCAUUAUUGGAAGCCUUGACCACUUCAAGCAAGUUGAAGGCAGAACACUCCAAGCAUGAUGGAAUCCCUUCUCUUGUCCGGCAGCAUUAGUGGAUGCUGGCGAGAUGACCAUCAAGGCUGAAGUAUGGCAACACUGUGCUGUUUGAGAGUAAACGGAGAGACAAGUUGCAAUUGAAAAUGUUAUCUUUUCCAUUAUUGGAAGCCUUGACCACUUCAAGCAAGUUGAAGGCAGAACACUCCAAGCAUGAUGGAAUCCCUUCUCUUGUCCGGCAGCAUUAGUGGAUGCUGGCGAGAUGACCAUCAAGGCUGAAGUAUGGCAACACUGUGCUGUUUGAGAGUAAACGGAGAGACAAGUUGCAAUUGAAAAUGUUAUCUUUUCCAUUAUUGGAAGCCUUGACCACUUCAAGCAAGUUGAAGGCAGAACACUCCAAGCAUGAUGGAAUCCCUUCUCUUGUCCGGCAGCAUUAGUGGAUGCUGGCGAGAUGACCAUCAAGGCUGAAGUAUGGCAACACUGUGCUGUUUGAGAGUAAACGGAGAGACAAGUUGCAAUUGAAAAUGUUAUCUUUUCCAUUAUUGGAAGCCUUGACCACUUCAAGCAAGUUGAAGGCAGAACACUCCAAGCAUGAUGGAAUCCCUUCUCUUGUCUGGCAGCAUUAGUGGAUGCUGGCGAGAUGACCAUCAAGGCUGAAGUAUGGCAACACUGUGCUGUUUGAGAGUAAACGGAGAGACAAGUUGCAAUUGAAAAUGUUAUCUUUUCCAUUAUUGGAAGCCUUGACCACUUCAAGCAAGUUGAAGGCAGAACACUCCAAGCAUGAUGGAAUCCCUUCUCUUGUCCGGCAGCAUUAGUGGAUGCUGGCGAGAUGACCAUCAAGGCUGAAGUAUGGCAACACUGUGCUGUUUGAGAGUAAACGGAGAGACAAGUUGCAAUUGAAAAUGUUAUCUUUUCCAUUAUUGGAAGCCUUGACCACUUCAAGCAAGUUGAAGGCAGAACACUCCAAGCAUGAUGGAAUCCCUUCUCUUGUCCGGCAGCAUUAGUGGAUGCUGGCGAGAUGACCAUCAAGGCUGAAGUAUGGCAACACUGUGCUGUUUGAGAGUAAACGGAGAGACAAGUUGCAAUUGAAAAUGUUAUCUUUUCCAUUAUUGGAAGCCUUGACCACUUCAAGCAAGUUGAAGGCAGAACACUCCAAGCAUGAUGGAAUCCCUUCUCUUGUCCGGCAGCAUUAGUGGAUGACAAGUUGCAAUUGAAAAUGUUAUCUUUUCCAUUAUUGGAAGCCUUGACCACUUCAAGCAAGUUGAAGGCAGAACACUCCAAGCAUGAUGGAAUCCCUUCUCUUGUCCGGCAGCAUUAGUGGAUGGUGGGUACCAUGAAAACAUAUUAGGAUGAUAGUCCAGUUUGGUUUGCUAGGUUUCACCAGAGUUAUGAGCUUCUAUUCUAACUCUCGGCUUGGGAUAGCCACAUAUUGUGUGGACCCACAAAU